rnacentral:rRNA from 1 species
UACGUAGGGCGCAAGCGUUGUCCGGAAUUAUUGGGCGUAAAGAGCUCGUAGGCGGUGUGUCGCGUCGGCCGUGAAAACCUGCAGCUUAACUGUGGGCUUGCGGUCGAUACGGGCAUCACUGGAGUUCGGCAGGGGAGACUGGAAUUCCUGGUGUAGCGGUGAAAUGCGCAGAUAUCAGGAAGAACACCCGUGGCGAAGGCGGCUCUCUGGGACGGUACUGACGCUGAGACGCGAAAGCCAGGGGAGCAAACGGG